rnacentral:rRNA from 1 species
GCAACCCGCCUGCGNGAAGUUGGAAUCGCUAGUAAUCGCGGAUCAGCAUGCCGCGGUGAAUACGUUCCCGGGCCUUGUACACACCGCCCGUCACACCAUGAGAGUCGGGAACACCCGAAGUCCGUAGCCUAACUUUAACGAGGGGGGCGCGGCCGAAGGUGGGUUCGAUAAUUGGGGUGAAGUCGUAACAAGGUAGC